GUGUUAAACGCCUCUCUGUGUCGUCACCGGAGGCAAGUCCAGGAGUUCUCGGGACGCCGUUUUCGCGUUUCCGGAUCCCCGGACGGUUCGCGUUACCCUCCUCCCAUCAAGGCCCGCCGGGGAAACCGGGAACGGCACGCAGGCUUGAAGAAAAGCAAUGGGAGAGAGAAUCAGCGAGACGUAGGAGGGCAAAUAACCCCCGACAAUUAAAUAAGCCCAUCAGUAAUCAAUAUUAUUUAUCGAGAGGAAAGAAGAAAACCCACAAAAAUCGUAAUGCAAAUCGAUCACGAGACCCAGUGCACUUAAUACAUGAAUAUUAUGACUUAACAAUCCAACACCAAAAGGUUUCCAAGUUCAUCCCUAGGCAUUAAGGCAUUUCUGUUUGACAACCCAGGGUGUGUUCCCAGGUUAAGUUGUGGACAGGGUGCAGUUCCAUGAACAGCAGUGCCCAUACCUGCACCACCAUGCCAGUCCAGCAGAGCGCCUGCCUCCCCCUGAAGAACAAACACCUUGCUCAGCUCAGAAAUCCCAGCAGCAACAGCUCUAUCAAACAGGAAGACUUGCAUCCAGGGCAUAGGUGUCUGUUCCCUCAAACACAAAGCUGCCGCAUGACUCACCUUCAUAAGGGAGAGCCUGAAGGAGCUCAGAACCACUGAGGAUGAAACCUUAGCGACAACCCUAAGCCAGGCUCUGGAUAGACUGUGCCUUCCUGCUCUCACAGGUACCCCUCAGACCAGAGCCAUAAGGGCUCUUCAUGGACAGUGAAGAUCCCACUUCAGGCCUGAGCCACAGCCUUACAAACUGAAGUGAGUUUUACUCAAAAACAAGCUUUCCUGGCAUGCUGACAAUGUUCACCGAAUGCUUUACAACUGCAUCCCCAAAGGAAAAUUUGCACCAGCAAUUGUCACUUCAUGGGUUAAAUAUCUGAAAAUCCCCUACUGACUCCUGGCUCCUGACUUUUUGGGAACAUAGUCUGUAGCCUCUUCUCAACUUUGUGUCAUGCUUCCUUACCAUCAAGAUAUUUGUUCAAAAGCCUCAUGAAGGAGAAACAAUUCUGUGGAUGAAGAUGUCCUGAGCCAUCAGUGCAGAUCUCUCAGCCCGCACCCAGCCCUGGACCUCCAUCCGCGACCGACAACUGAAUAACGCUGAGGGCGGUUCUAAAAGUGGCAAAGAUGCUGGUAAAACAUUAUUUUUUGCAGUUACAGUCCUGAAGGCUUCUCCCCCCUCCCCUCCUCGGAGAGCCUGUAAGCCAGCCCCGGUUACCCGUGGAGACAAGCGCUGCAACCCCCGGC